GGUUAAGCGACUAAGCGUACACGGUGGAUGCCCUGGCAGUCAGAGGCGAUGAAGGACGUGCUAAUCUGCGAAAAGCGCCGGCGAGGUGAUAUGAACCUUUGACCCGGCGAUGUCCGAAUGGGGAAACCCAGUGUGUUCCGACACACUAUCGUUAACUGAAUACAUAGGUUAACGAGGCGAACCGGGGGAACUGAAACAUCUAAGUACCCCGAGGAAAAGAAAUCAACCGAGAUUCCCCCAGUAGCGGCGAGCGAACGGGGAGCAGCCCAGAGUCUGAAUCAGCUUGUGUGUUAGUGGAAGCGUCUGGAAAGUCGCACGGUACAGGGUGACAGUCCCGUACACGAAAAUGCACAGGUUGUGAACUCGAAGAGUAGGGCGGGACACGUGGUAUCCUGUCUGAAUAUGGGGGGACCAUCCUCCAAGGCUAAAUACUCCUGACUGACCGAUAGUGAACCAGUACCGUGAGGGAAAGGCGAAAAGAACCCCGGCGAGGGGAGUGAAAAAGAACCUGAAACCGUGUACGUACAAGCAGUGGGAGCACCUUCGUGGUGUGACUGCGUACCUUUUGUAUAAUGGGUCAGCGACUUAUAUUCUGUAGCAAGGUUAACCGUAUAGGGGAGCCGAAGGGAAACCGAGUCUUAACUGGGCGUUAAGUUGCAGGGUAUAGACCCGAAACCCGGUGAUCUAGCCAUGGGCAGGUUGAAGGUUGGGUAACACUAACUGGAGGACCGAACCGACUAAUGUUGAAAAAUUAGCGGAUGACUUGUGGCUGGGGGUGAAAGGCCAAUCAAACCGGGAGAUAGCUGGUUCUCCCCGAAAGCUAUUUAGGUAGCGCCUCGUGAACUCAUCUUCGGGGUAGAGCACUGUUUCGGCUAGGGGGCCAUCCCGGCUUACCAACCCGAUGCAAACUACGAAUACCGAAGAAUGUUAUCACGGGAGACACACGGCGGGUGCUAACGUCCGUCGUGAAGAGGGAAACAACCCAGACCGCCAGCUAAGGUCCCAAAGUCAUGGUUAAGUGGGAAACGAUGUGGGAAGGCACAGACAGCCAGGAUGUUGGCUUAGAAGCAGCCAUCAUUUAAAGAAAGCGUAAUAGCUCACUGGUCGAGUCGGCCUGCGCGGAAGAUGUAACGGGGCUAAACCAUGCACCGAAGCUGCGGCAGCGACACUAUGUGUUGUUGGGUAGGGGAGCGUUCUGUAAGCCGUUGAAGGUGUGCUGUGAGGCAUGCUGGAGGUAUCAGAAGUGCGAAUGCUGACAUAAGUAACGAUAAAGCGGGUGAAAAGCCCGCUCGCCGGAAGACCAAGGGUUCCUGUCCAACGUUAAUCGGGGCAGGGUGAGUCGACCCCUAAGGCGAGGCCGAAAGGCGUAGUCGAUGGGAAACAGGUUAAUAUUCCUGUACUUGGUGUUACUGCGAAGGGGGGACGGAGAAGGCUAUGUUAGCCGGGCGACGGUUGUCCCGGUUUAAGCAUGUAGGCGGAGGUUCCAGGUAAAUCCGGUACCUUUUAACGCUGAGGUGUGAUGACGAGGCACUACGGUGCUGAAGUAACAAAUGCCCUGCUUCCAGGAAAAGCCUCUAAGCAUCAGGUAACAUCAAAUCGUACCCCAAACCGACACAGGUGGUCAGGUAGAGAAUACCAAGGCGCUUGAGAGAACUCGGGUGAAGGAACUAGGCAAAAUGGUGCCGUAACUUCGGGAGAAGGCACGCUGAUAUGUAGGUGAAGCCCCUGCGGGUGGAGCUGAAAUCAGUCGAAGAUACCAGCUGGCUGCAACUGUUUAUUAAAAACACAGCACUGUGCAAACACGAAAGUGGACGUAUACGGUGUGACGCCUGCCCGGUGCCGGAAGGUUAAUUGAUGGGGUUAGCGGCAACGCGAAGCUCUUGAUCGAAGCCCCGGUAAACGGCGGCCGUAACUAUAACGGUCCUAAGGUAGCGAAAUUCCUUGUCGGGUAAGUUCCGACCUGCACGAAUGGCGUAAUGAUGGCCAGGCUGUCUCCACCCGAGACUCAGUGAAAUUGAACUCGCUGUGAAGAUGCAGUGUACCCGCGGCAAGACGGAAAGACCCCGUGAACCUUUACUAUAGCUUGACACUGAACACUGGUCCUUGAUGUGUAGGAUAGGUGGGAGGCUUUGAAGUGUGGACGCCAGUCUGCAUGGAGCCGUCCUUGAAAUACCACCCUUUAAUGGCUGGUGUUCUAACGUAGACCCGUAAUCCGGGUUGCGGACAGUGUCUGGUGGGUAGUUUGACUGGGGCGGUCUCCUCCCAAAGAGUAACGGAGGAGCACGAAGGUUAGCUAAUCCUGGUCGGACAUCAGGAGGUUAGUGCAAUGGCAUAAGCUAGCUUGACUGCGAGAGUGACGGCUCGAGCAGGUGCGAAAGCAGGUCAUAGUGAUCCGGUGGUUCUGAAUGGAAGGGCCAUCGCUCAACGGAUAAAAGGUACUCCGGGGAUAACAGGCUGAUACCGCCCAAGAGUUCAUAUCGACGGCGGUGUUUGGCACCUCGAUGUCGGCUCAUCACAUCCUGGGGCUGAAGUAGGUCCCAAGGGUAUGGCUGUUCGCCAUUUAAAGUGGUACGCGAGCUGGGUUUAGAACGUCGUGAGACAGUUCGGUCCCUAUCUGCCGUGGGCGCUGGAGAAUUGAGGGGGGCUGCUCCUAGUACGAGAGGACCGGAGUGGACGCAUCACUGGUGUUCGGGUUGUCAUGCCAAUGGCACUGCCCGGUAGCUAAAUGCGGAAAAGAUAAGUGCUGAAAGCAUCUAAGCACGAAACUUGCCCCGAGAUGAGUUCUCCCUGAGACUUUAAGUCUCCUGAAGGAACGUUGAAGACGACGACGUUGAUAGGUCGGGUGUGUAAGCGCAGCGAUGCGUUGAGCUAACCGAUACUAAUGAACCGUGAGGCUUAACCUU
rnacentral:rRNA from 1 species